UCUUUCCAAUAAUAAUCUGGGCUUCAGCUGCUGGUUAUAUGAUAUGUGGAUGGGAAACAGCAGGGGGAAUAAGUGGCUCAGAAAACAUUUGCACCUGGAAACAGAUUCCAAAGAAUUCUGGGCUUUCAGUUUUGAUGAAAUGAUAAAAUAUGAUCUUCCAAAAUAUUGACUUCAUUGUGAAGAAAACAGGACAAAAGAAAACUUACUAUGUGAGCUAUUCCCAGGGAACCAUUAUUGAUUUUGUGCCAGUAGAGGAACUGAAGGAGAUUUUCUAUGGCUUUGAGGACAACAAGAAACACAGAUAUGAUACACACGAACACUUUGAGUUCUUUGUCUUUCUCACCAUUUCCAAGGACUGUAGUAGAUGAUUGCUAAGGAGUAACCUUUCAGGCUGCUGGACUUGUCAUCAUCAAAACUUCCCAUCUGGGGGUUCCUGCAGUGGCACAGCAGGUUAAGGAUCUGGUGUCUCUGCAGCAUCAUGAGUUCAGCCCCUUGUCUGGAGCAGGGAAUCUUUAUUAUAUCCAUUGAAUAAAGAACAUGGUGGAAUCAGAAAAACAAGUCUUUCCAGGGGAGCUCUGA